CGAGAGUCGAAGGACCCCGGGGCCGCCCGCGGCGCUGCCUGAGCGCAGCCGUGUUGUCAUGGCAACGGGCCUACCUCCUUCAUCCCGACAGGGUGACGCAGGUUACCGAACCAUGCUGACUUUUGGGUUCGUUUCUGCCCGCUGUUUCCCCAGUGCCCACGCACCAGCUGGUGCAGGAGGAAGUCAGGCAGAGCUGUGGGGCACACAUUCCUGCAGGAAGCUGCUGCUUUUGCCACCACCACCGUGGUGAUGGAGGGAGAGAGCCUGACAAAGUGUUUUUUCCACCCCUUACGUCACGCCAGGAUCCGUCCACGUGUGUCAGUAUGAGCAGGACUAAAGUUUAUGGUUCGGGA